AGACUUCCGCCUCUAACCGCCGUAAAGAGCCCGAUCCCGGAACUUGGGUUGACCGGUGAUCGGAGAUUCAGCCAAGUCAAUAAAAUGGGUUUAGGCUUCGUAAUUGGCGCAUUUGGAGUCAUGAUUCUCGCUCAUGCAGCUUACACAACUAUUCAAUGUAAUAGCAUAUUCAAUAUCCUGGAUCGUAGAAUCAAUCUAUUAUCAAAUUUUUGGUGCUUUUCAUGUUCUCUUUUCUUUUAAUUUUGUUUGGCCUGGAUACAGAUAGAGGUUUGUUGAAGAUUAUGGAGGAGGAGUUUUCAGGACCUCCAAUGAAUGUAAGUUUUUUUUUCCCCUUUUUCCUUUUUUCCCUGUUACUUAUAUGUUUGAUUAUUUUAUUUUUAUUUGUUUUGGUUGAUGGGUCUGUGGCCUUUUGCUUCUCUGUUUUUUAUACUUAUUUUGGUUGGACUGCAGGUGGUGGUAGAGUUGCUUCUAGGGUUAGUGUUGUGUAUGUGGGCUGCUUUAACUGUACCGGGAAAGUUCCUAUCUAUACACCCUCAUUCUGAUGAGAAUAGGUAUUGUUGGUUAUCUUUCUGCUUACACUUUGUUAACUGGGAUUUCUUUGUAUUAGAUUAGAGUAUUCUAUGCCAUUCAAUUGAGCAGUGAUUAUUAGUGGCUGUUCAAUAUUAACCCAAAAUAUGAUAAAAUUAGAUUAUUGAAUACUUUGAAAUUUGGCUAUAUGUUGAUAGAUUUAGCCCUACAUAAAAUAACUUUUGAACCAUGAAAGGAGUGCUUAUAGGACAAUCUGCUUAUAGGAGUCACAAGUAACAAAUACUCAGGUUGCUUUGUUGUUGUUGUUGUUGCUGCUGCUUGUUUGUUUUUAAAAAAGUGCAAUUGGAAUUAUAUCAUUGCUUAUAAAGUUUAUAUGUAUAAGCUGACAAAGUAUUGUGGCUGGAUUUGAUUUCUCGCAAAGAGGAAAUUAAUUAGUUUCUUAUGUUUGUAAAGUAUGAUUUAUUUUCCCUACACUUAUUGAAGUUGGACUCUUAUGAAUAACAUAUUGGACAUCAACUUAUUUUGAGUAGCUGACACGCUAUGAAGUUUUAUUAUUUUAAUUUCUAAUAUUAAUGGUCUCUAUGGAUGUUGCACAUCUCAGAUUUGGGUUGGUUGAUACAUGGGAUGUUUUGAUUGGGCUUAACAGUUAAACCCCUAUUUAAGAAGCAGCUUGUAAUUCAAGGAUGAAAAUAUAUCCAUGAUAGCUCAUUAGUUGUGCUUUCUGGUCCUAUUUGUUUGUGGAGGAAUUAUUAAGUGGACUUAGUCUAUCAUGUCAUCCCUAUCAUAUUAGAUAGUGAUGGAUAAACUUGUCAUUAUGUAUAAUCAACCUUGAAUUGUGAAUAAUGCGAAAAAAAAAUAUCAUUAGAUUAGUAAACCCAUGUGGUAGGCUAGUCUACAAGAGUAUUUCUUGUGCUUGUGAAGGUUGUUUCUAAAGGAUCAAUGGCUAUAUAGGGGUUGUCCCAAUAUUUAUGCUAUUCAUUUAACAUUUUUUUAAGAACUAGUGCAGCCUGCCAUCAGUUGAAAUUAUGAUUGCUAAUGCCAACCCCCGUGGUGUGUUGUUCUAAUUUUGGUUCUUUGAUAAGGAAACUUAAUUAAAAAUGAACAUAAUUUAACUGCAUAUUCUUAUUUUCAAAUUUCAAUGCAAAAAAGUUACAAGUUCCUAGCAAUUGGAAGAGAAUUAUUAUAUGUUCCGUAUAAUGAGAUGCUUACCAACUUGUACCAGAUGAAGUUGCUAGUAAACCACAAAAUGGUUUCUAUUACUUCACAUCUAGCUGAAAAAGGGAAGAGGUUCUUUAAGUUUUUCCAUCACAGCCAAUAGUUUUAGAGGUUGAACAAAAUUUGGACUAACUUGUAAGCUAACAUAAUUAUUUUUUUUUGGGUACAAAGACGUGUUUAUGGAAGUUAAUUUGCUAAAUAAGGAACAAAUUGAUUCUGGAUAUAAGGUACAUAGGAAAAUUAAGCUGUAUGGCCCUUUUCUUGCAUCAUUUGUCAAGUUUAUUCUGUUGUAUGCUAGUUUGUUCUACAUAAAGUCAUAUUUGUAUAGAUGCUAAGUGAAAAUUUUCUCAUAUUAGAAAAUGUAUCCAAUCCUACAAAACCAUUAUAAUUGAAUAAUUUUAUCAAUAAUAAUGCGUAGGACCAAGACAAUUUUUAGCAAAGCCUGCAUGUUUUACGAAAUGAUGCUGAAUUCAGAGUAGACAAUUUUUUUGCUCACAUUUUUUGCCCAGCCUGCAUGUUUGAGAGUUAAUCUUUUGAAAUGAUGCUGAUAUUACUGAUAUUCUUACAAGGAUAAUGCCUUGUUGACACAAAAAAUUGCAUAUUCUUGAAUCAGGAUAGUAUCUUUACCUGCCAAUAUGGACUUCAUGAUCUUCAACCAUCGUGGCAAAGCAUUUCCUUCAGGAAUGGACAUGAAAC
rnacentral:lncRNA from 1 species